GCUGCCCUCUUUCUUCGUGCCUAAUACAUGCAAGUCGAGCGAACAGACGAGGAGCUUGCUCCUCUGACGUUAGCGGCGGACGGGUGAGUAACACGUGGAUAACCUACCUAUAAGACUGGGAUAACUUCGGGAAACCGGAGCUAAUACCGGAUAAUAUAUUGAACCGCAUGGUUCAAUAGUGAAAGACGGUUUUGCUGUCACUUAUAGAUGGAUCCGCGCCGCAUUAGCUAGUUGGUAAGGUAACGGCUUACCAAGGCAACGAUGCGUAGCCGACCUGAGAGGGUGAUCGGCCACACUGGAACUGAGACACGGUCCAGACUCCUACGGGAGGCAGCAGUAGGGAAUCUUCCGCAAUGGGCGAAAGCUUGACGGAGCAACGCCGCGUGAGUGAUGAAGGUCUUCGGAUCGUAAAACUCUGUUAUUAGGGAAGAACAAAUGUGUAAGUAACUAUGCACGUCUUGACGGUACCUAAUCAGAAAGCCACGGCUAACUACGUG
rnacentral:rRNA from 1 species